rnacentral:misc_RNA from 1 species
GAUGAAGAACACAGCGAAAUGCGAUAAGUAGUGUGAAUUGCAGAAUUCAGUGAAUCAUCGAAUCUUUGAACGCACAUUGCGCCCCAUGGUAUUCCGUGGGGCAUGCCUGUUCGAGCGUCAUUUACCCCCUCAAGCUCCGCUUGGUGUUGGGCGUCUGUCCCGCUUCGCGCGCGGACUCGCCCCAAAGGUAUUGGCAGCGGUCGUGCCAGCUUCUCGCGCAGCACAUUGCGCUUCUCGAGGCACCGGUGGGCCCGCGUCCAUCAAGCUCACCCCCCCAGUUUGACCUCGGAUCAGGUAGGGAUACCCGCUGAACUUAAGCAUAUCAAUAAGCGGAGGA